AGCGAACGCUGGCGGCAGGCUUAACACAUGCAAGUCGAGCGGGCACUUCGGUGUCAGCGGCAGACGGGUGAGUAACACGUGGGAACGUACCCUUCGGUUCGGAAUAACGCUGGGAAACUAGCGCUAAUACCGGAUACGCCCUUUUGGGGAAAGGUUUACUGCCGAAGGAUCGGCCCACGUCUGAUUAGCUAGUUGGUGGGGUAAUGGCCUACCAAGGCGACGAUCAGUAGCUGGUCUGAGAGGAUGAUCAGCCACACUGGGACUGAGACACGGCCCAGACUCCUACGGGAAGCAGCAGUGGGGAAUAUUGGACAAUGGGCGCAAGCCUGAUCCAGCCAUGCCGCGUGAGUGAUGAAGGCCUUAGGGUUGUAAAGCUCUUUUGUCCGGGACGAUAAUGACGGUACCGGAAGAAUAAGCCCCGGCUAACUUCGUG
rnacentral:rRNA from 1 species